AUAAAUUACUUGUCCAGUGACAAAGAUGAUGAAAGGAACAUCUUAUUUGGGAACAGAUGUUGCGUCAACUUAAUCCCCUACAGUGAGACAAGCAUAAACAUUACAUGGUGGAACAAACACAUCAAUCCGGAAACAAUGCAGCCUACUGGAACUUGAUCCAUUGUUCAUGCCGCAAUGGCCAUCGCCACCGCCACCGUCGCCGCCAUCAGGAUCUGGUAUGCUUGUGCCGUGAUUCUGUCCGACGCGCGAGACGUGGAGGGAGAUGGAGCAGGACUGACAGGUGGCGGAGGAGGUGGUGUAGCAGGAGUGGAGGGUGAUGGUGGUGGCGAGGUAGGAGGUGAAGCAGGAGCGACGGGUGUUGGUGGUGUGGGAGGUGAGGUAGGAGGAGAAGCAGGACUGAGGGGUGGUGGAGGAGGAGGAGGUGGUGUAGCGGGAGCGGAGGGCGAUGGUGGUGGUGAGGUAGGAGGUGAAGCAGGAGCGAAGGGUGGUGUGGGAGGUGAGGUAGGAGGAGAAGCAGGACUGAGGGGUGGUGGAGAUGGAGGUGGUGAAGCAGGACCAGAGGGUGGUGAGGCAGGAGGCGAAGCAGGGCUGAUGGCUGCUGGAAGAAUAUUGACGACGAGCUUCUGGCCCCUGGUGCAGUGAUCACCAAACCCACACAUGUACCAUCUCCUUCCAGGAGUGUCCAAAGCCACCAAAUCAUUGCCGCUGGUGAAGGUGUUGAUUGCUACUGCUGAUGUAUUGCAUACCUUGAAGUCUGGUCCCCCGACCUGCAUGACAUUGUGAGCCCCUUGCAUGUACUUG
rnacentral:lncRNA from 1 species